rnacentral:rRNA from 1 species
GCCAAGAAGCUAGCCUGAUUAUAAUGAUAACUAAAAAAUAUAAAUAAGCACUACACACCCGGAUAUUAAAACAUUUUACCACCCAAGUAUAGGUGAUAGAAAAGGAGCCCAGAGCAAUAGAAAGAGUACCGUAAGGGAAGGCUGAAAAAGAAAUGAAACAACCCAAAUAAGCAAGAGAAAGCAGAGAUUAAACCUCGUACCUUUUGCAUCAUGAUCUAGCAAGAAAGCCCAAGCAAAGAGAGCUUAAGUUUGACCCCCCGAAACCAGGGGAGCUACUCCGAAGCAGCCCAAAGGGGCAAACCCGUCUCUGUGGCAAAAGAGUGGAAAGACUUCCGAGUAGAGGUGACAAGCCUACCGAACCUGGUAAUAGCUGGUUGCUCAGAAAAUGAAUAUAAGUUCAGCGCUAUGACAUUCUAAAUUUAACCACAAAUAGAAUAAGCAAGCCAUAGCAGUUAGUCAAAAGGGGUACAGCCCUUUUGAAAAAGGAUACAACCUUACCAAGGAGGAAAAGGACUAAUUAAGUCAAGGCACUUCUCCCAGUGGGCCUAAAAGCAGCCACCUGUAAAGAUAGCGUUAAAGCUCAAGAAAAACUUAACCAAUAAUAAGAAUAAACUAGGCCUAAUCCCCUCCUUAUACUGAGCCCCCCUAUAUUAAUAUAGAGAAGAUAAUGCUAGAAUUAGUAAUAAGAGGGACACACCCCUCUCCUUGCACAAUCGUGAGUCAGAUAGGAUUAACCACUGAAUAAUAACGGACCUACAGGAAGGCAUAGCAAAGACGAGACUAAUAAACAAGAAAACCCUACAGCAACUACCGUCAACCCGACACAGGAGUGCGACCAGGAAAGACUAAAAGGGAGAGAAGGAACUCGGCAAAACUAAAACCCCGCCUGUUUACCAAAAACAUCGCCUCUAGCUAACAAUGAAGUAUUAGAGGUCCCGCCUGCCCUGUGACAGCAGUGUUUAACGGCCGCGGUAUUUUAACCGCGCGAAGGUAGCGUAAUCACUUGUCUUUUAAAUGGAGACCUGUAUGAAUGGCAUAACGAGGGUUUAACUGUCUCCUCCCCCCAGUCAAUGAAAUUGAUCUGCCCGUGCAGAAGCGGGCAUGUAAACAUAAGACGAGAAGACCCUAUGGAGCUUCAGGCAAAUGAUCAAGCGCAAGAAGCCCUACUCCUAGUCAGUGUACGGGAAGGUAAAAGCCAAUGAUCAAAGUGCUUUCGGUUGGGGCGACCAUGGAGGAAAGAAAAGCCUCCACGUGGAAGGGGAAAAACCUUAAACUAAGAAAAACAGCUCUAAGUAACAGAAAUUCUGACCAAAAGUGACCCGAGCUUAGGCCCGAUCAACGAACCGAGUUACCCUAGGGAUAACAGCGCAAUCCUCUCCCAGAGUCCAUAUCGACGAGGGGGUUUACGACCUCGAUGUUGGAUCAGGACAUCCUAUUGGUGCAGCCGCUAUUAAGGGUUCGUUUGUUCAACGAUUAAUAGUCCUACGUGAUCUGAGUUCAGACCGGAGUAAUCCAGGUCGGUUUCUAUCUAUGAACUCUCUAUCUCUAGUACGAAAGGACCGAGAUAGAAGGGCCUACAAAGAAACAAGCCCUAACCCAACCCGCUGAAACCAUAUAAAGCGAAUAAUGGGGGAGACAUGCCCGCCAAAGAUAAUGGCAU